rnacentral:lncRNA from 1 species
AACCCCCCAAUCUACCCAAAAUCCAUUUCCCACCAAAAUUUUACUCUCCCAUUUAUUUUUUCUCAAAAUUUUACUCCCCAAAACACUCAAAACCUUUUAUUUUCCCCCAAAAUUUUUACUCCCUCCCACUUUUCUCCUAAAACUUUUAUUCCCUUCCCAUCCCACCUCCCAUCUAUCCCAAACCCUCCCCCCUCCAAAUUUUUUUUAAUGUUUUCCCUCCAAAAUUUUACUCCCCCUAUUUACUUUCCCUCAAACUUUUAUUCCCCAAAACUUUUUAUUUUUCCCCUAAACUUUUACUUCUCAC